CGAAUGCUGACAUAAGUAACGAUAAAGCGGGUGAAAAGCCCGCUCGCCGGAAGACCAAGGGUUCCUGUCCAACGUUAAUCGGGGCAGGGUGAGUCGACCCCUAAGGCGAGGCCGAAAGGCGUAGUCGAUGGGAAACAGGUUAAUAUUCCUGUACUUGGUGUUACUGCGAAGGGGGGACGGAGAAGGCUAUGUUGGCCGGGCGACGGUUGUCCCGGUUUAAGCGUGUAGGCUGGUUUUCCAGGCAAAUCCGGAAAAUCAAGGCUGAGGCGUGAUGACGAGGCACUACGGUGCUGAAGCAACAAAUGCCCUGCUUCCAGGAAAAGCCUCUAAGCAUCAGGUAACAUCAAAUCGUACCCCAAACCGACACAGGUGGUCAGGUAGAGAAUACCAAGGCGCUUGAGAGAACUCGGGUGAAGGAACUAGGCAAAAUGGUGCCGUAACUUCGGGAGAAGGCACGCUGAUAUGUAGGUGAAGUCCCUCGCGGAUGGAGCUGAAAUCAGUCGAAGAUACCAGCUGGCUGCAACUGUUUAUUAAAAACA
rnacentral:rRNA from 1 species